rnacentral:rRNA from 1 species
AGAGUUUUGAUCAUGGCUCAGGACGAACGCUGGCGGCGUGCUUAACACAUGCAAGUCGAACGAUGACGGUGGUGCUUGCACCGCCUGAUUAGUGGCGAACGGGUGAGUAACACGUGAGUAACCUGCCCUCCACUUCGGGAUAACCUCGGGAAAUCGUGGCUAAUACCGGAUAUGAGCACUCAUCGCAUGGUGAGUGCUGGAAAGAUUUAUCGGUGGGGGAUGGACUCGCGGCCUAUCAGUUUGUUGGUGAGGUGAUGGCUCACCAAGACGAUGACGGGUAGCCGGCCUGAGAGGGCGACCGGCCACACUGGGACUGAGACACGGCCCAGACUCCUACGGGAGGCAGCAGUGGGGAAUAUUGCACAAUGGGCGAAAGCCUGAUGCAGCGACGCCGCGUGGGGGAUGACGGCCUUCGGGUUGUAAACCCCUUUCAGUAGGGAAGAAGCGAGAGUGACGGUACCUGCAGAAGAAGCGCCGGCUAACUACGUGCCAGCAGCCGCGGUAAUACGUAGGGCGCAAGCGUUGUCCGGAAUUAUUGGGCGUAAAGAGCUUGUAGGUGGCUUGUCGCGUCUGCCGUGAAAACCCGAGGCUCAACCUCGGGCGUGCGGUGGGUACGGGCAGGCUAGAGUGUGGUAGGGGAGACUGGAACUCCUGGUGUAGCGGUGAAAUGCGCAGAUAUCAGGAAGAACACCGAUGGCGAAGGCAGGUCUCUGGGCCAUUACUGACACUGAG